CGGAGGGGGCUAGCGUUGUUCGGAAUUACUGGGCGUAAAGGGCGCGCAGGCGGCUGCUCAAGUCAGGCGUGAAAGGCCUGGGCUCAACCCGGGAAUUGCGCUUGAGACUGGGCUGGCUUGAGUGCGGGAGAGGAUGGUGGAAUUCCCAGUGUAGAGGUGAAAUUCGUAGAUAUUGGGAAGAACACCGGUGGCGAAGGCGGCCAUCUGGACCGCAACUGACGCUGAGGCGCGAAAGCGUGGGGAGCAAACAGGAUUAGAUACCCUGGUAGUCCACGCCGUAAACGAUGAGUGCUAGACGUUGGGAAGCCUAGCUUUCUGGUGUCGCAGCUAACGCAUUAAGCACUCCGCCUGGGGAGUACGGCCGCAAGGUUA
rnacentral:rRNA from 1 species